UCCCUGAUAGCUCAGUUGGUAAAGAAUCUGCCUGUAAUGCAGGAGACCUGGGUUUGACCCCUGGGUUGGGAA
rfam:TPA: Bos taurus chromosome 25, whole genome shotgun sequence.